CCAGCAGAACAUUCUUGUGGCACAUGCUUCAGUUUUGUGAAAUGAUUGGUUUUGUUUGCUUUGGGUUGGAUUGGUGAUUACAACAUUCCACUGUUCUGAGCUGCAAAAGCUGGUCAAAUUGCUUGUAACUACA
rnacentral:lncRNA from 1 species